GGAAGGUAGCCGAGCUAAUACAUGGCUUCUAACCAUAUAAAGAGAGGUUUAACUCCUUUCACCUUCCU
rnacentral:tRNA from 1 species